rnacentral:rRNA from 1 species
UGGUGGAGUGAUUUGUCUGGUUAAUUCCGUUAACGAACGAGACCUCAGCCUGCUAACUAGUUACGCGAAGGAUCCUCUUCGUGGCCAACUUCUUAGAGGGACUAUGGCCGUCUAGGCCAUGGAAGUUUGAGGCAAUAACA